UCCGCGGUUUGCAGUGGUCUGGUAGUACGAGGCUCGGCAGUCAAUGGACAUCUUGCAACCGCGAUUUUGACAUAAACGAACUGCUGUCUUUUUGCGCACCUUUUGAGCAGUAACCUGCGCCGUUUAUUGAAAGGGGGCCUCAGUUUUUGUCGUCUGCUGAACGUGGUUUUCUCGGCACAAAUCAACUUCAAUAAAUUAGACAACAGUGUAUAUAUUGAGUAACUGGUAUUUCAUUGGGGUGGACAAGGUCUGUGACUGUUGUUGUCGACAAGAACUGUCUGGCUUGCUGCAUUCUGGGUGUUCUGACCAUUACUAAUGGCCAUGUGAAAAAUGUGAGAGCGUUACCUGGGUCAUCAAGCUACACCUGGUACUGAAAUAAUCCAGUUACCCAAGCAUGGUGUUUGUCCUUUUGUGUUGGCGAUGUCACAUUACUGGUAUGUUUAAUAUGGAUAUUUGUGAUAACCAUUUGCCUGUCUUGAAUCUGUGUACUUUGAUGAUACAACUGUAAGUUGAUGACACUUGAAAGACACCAUGUAUUUGAGACAACAGCAAAAUCAACAUGAUCCUUAAUACUUCUAAAAUGAUCUGUUGCCAGACAGCUGACAGUUGUUUUGGCUGAAAUUCUUUGUCAACAUUAUUAAUUAACAAUGAGUUGAUGUCUGCUACUUGUUAUGAGUUCAUUUGAAGCCAUGCUCUAACUAGAAGAAGGAGUCAUGAUCAGUGAAAUCUGCACUACUACAGAAAUGGGAGUGAUGAAAGUAGUCUUAGUUGCUAGUUGUACCAAGAGGACAGUUGUGACUUCAGGGUAGCAAUAAAAUGUUUGUCACUGCUUAUCUUGCAUAUGCAUUGGAUGUCCACAAAUAAUCAUGAGUCAUCUGACUCUUGUCAGAACUAUAAUUAUUGUAACGUCCAAACAUUGUGGUCAGAUCUAUAAUUUGUGACU